UGGGGAAUUUUGGACAAUGGGCGAAAGCCUGAUCCAGCAAUGCCGCGUGUGUGAAGAAGGCCUUCGGGUUGUAAAGCACUUUUGUCCUGAAAGAAAUCCUCUGGGUUAAUACCUCGGGGGGAUGACGGUACCGGAAGAAUAAGCACCGGCUAACUACGUGCCAGCAGCCGCGGUAAUACGUAGGGUGCAAGCGUUAAUCGGAAUUACUGGGCGUAAAGCGUGCGCAGGCGGUUUUGUAAGACGGAUGUGAAAUCCCCGGGCUUAACCUGGGAACUGCAUUCGUGACUGCAAGGCUAGAGUAUGGCAGAGGGGGGUAGAAUUCCACGUGUAGCAGUGAAAUGCGUAGAGAUGUGGAGGAAUACCGAUGGCGAAGGCAGCCCCCUGGGCCAAUACUGACGCUCAUGCACGAAAGCGUGGGGAGCAAACAGGAUUAGAUACCCUGGUAGUCCACGCCCUAAAACGAUGUCAACUAGUUGUUGGGGAUUCAUUUCCUUAGUAACGUAGCUAACGCGUGAAGUUGACCGCCUGGGGAGUACGGUCGCAAGAUUAAAACUCAAAUGAAUUGACGGGGUCAUAGCUGUUUCCU
rnacentral:rRNA from 1 species